AUCCAAGUGACGAAUCCCAAAUAGGACGAAACGCGUGUCCUGGAU
rnacentral:hammerhead_ribozyme from 1 species